rnacentral:sRNA from 1 species
CUUUAACCCUGAUGGAAGUGAAAAUCCUUUUUUUAUUUAAGCAAUAAAUAACAAAAGAUUGUAACGAACAGCAGGAAAAAGA